rnacentral:rRNA from 1 species
UACGUAGGUGGCAAGCGUUGUCCGGAUUUAUUGGGUUUAAAGGGUGCGUAGGCGGCCUAUUAAGUCAGUGCUGAAAUAUCCCGGCUUAACCGGGAGGGUGGCAUUGAUACUGAUGGGCUUGAGUAGAGUUGAGGUUGGCGGAAUUGACGGUGUAGCGGUGAAAUGCUUAGAUAUCGUAAGGAAGGCCGGUGGCGAAAGCGAGCCUCUGGACAGUUACUGACGCUGAUGCACGAAGGCCAGGGGAGCAAACGGG